rnacentral:lncRNA from 1 species
ACCUAUCAUGUAUAUUACAGAGAGGAGCAGUUUGACUCUCUAGAGAGCAGUGAGGGCAUUAUUUAUCUUUUGGAUGGAUUGAGCUGUGCGAUCAGAGGCAUCGAGAUGGUCAGCUGGAGGAUACAUGAUGGUAUAGUGAGGAGAUUGGAGGAGGUCUGAUACAUAUCUGAUUUUAGAUGAAAUCUUAUCUUACUAAGUAGACUGAAUUCGAGAGGCUACAAGACAGUAGCUGGUAGAGAAAUC